CCUAAUACAUGCAAGUCGAACGCACUCUCGUUAGAUUGAAGAAGCUUGCUUCUGAUUGAUAACAUUUGAGUGAGUGGCGGACGGGUGAGUAACACGUGGGUAACCUGCCCUAAAGUGGGGGAUAACAUUUGGAAACAGAUGCUAAUACCGCAUAAAACCUAGCACCGCAUGGUGCAAGGUUGAAAGAUGGUUUCGGCUAUCACUUUAGGAUGGACCCGCGGUGCAUUAGUUAGUUGGUGAGGUAAAGGCUCACCAAGACCGUGAUGCAUAGCCGACCUGAGAGGGUAAUCGGCCACACUGGGACUGAGACACGGCCCAGACUCCUACGGGAGGCAGCAGUAGGGAAUCUUCCACAAUGGACGAAAGUCUGAUGGAGCAACGCCGCGUGAGUGAAGAAGGUUUUCGGAUCGUAAAACUCUGUUGUUGGAGAAGAACGUAUUUGAUAGUAACUGAUCAGGUAGUGACGGUAUCCAACCAGAAAGCCACGGCUAACUACGUGCCAGCAGCCGCGGUAAUACGUAGGUGGCAAGCGUUGUCCGGAUUUAUUGGGCGUAAAGCGAGCGCAGGCGGUUUCUUAAGUCUGAUGUGAAAGCCUUCGGCUCAACCGAAGAAGUGCAUCGGAAACUGGGAAACUUGAGUGCAGAAGAGGACAGUGGAACUCCAUGUGUAGCGGUGAAAUGCGUAGAUA
rnacentral:rRNA from 2 species